UGUCUCUUGAGAAGAGACCAGUGGGGCACCCUUUGUUCACAAGGGGCCUAGGAAGAUUUUUCAACAAAGGGUGCCCCACUGGUCUCUUCUCAA
rnacentral:miRNA from 1 species